rnacentral:lncRNA from 1 species
CCUGCCCCACCUCCGCCGGGCUCCACAGCCGCCGGGAGCCCAGGGCCGAGACGGGAGGAGGGCACCCACCUGGUCGGUGUCACAUGCUGCUUCGGCCCCAGCGUCCCCUCCAGGUCCCGGCGCCGGCCGCAGUCCCCAGAGCCGUCCCCAGCGCAGGCCCGGCCGCCCCACCCGCGGCCCGCCCCUGGCCGCCCGACGGGAGGGAGGGAUCGGGUUCUCCUAGGAAGUUUCAGGUCAUUCAACAUUUAUUCAACCAAAAAUACUAAGUCAGCUCUAUACAAACUAAUGGAAGGAUACAGCUAUGCAAAUAUAGAACACUAAAGUGUUACAUGACAGAUGUAUGAGUCUUGGAUAUGUCUUUAUCAGCAGUAUGAAAACUGACUAAUACAGUAAAUUGGUACCAGUGGAGUGGGGCGCUGCUGAAAAGAUACCUGAAAAUGUGGAAGCGACUUUGGAACUGGGUAACAGGCAGAGGUUGAAACAGUUUGGAGGGCUCAGAAGAAGACAAGAAAAUGUGGGAAAGUUUGGAACUUCCUAAAGACUUGUUGAAUGGCUUUGACAAAAAUGCUGAUACUGCUAUGGACAAUAAGGUCCAGGCUGAGGUGGUCUCAGAUGGAGAUGAGGAACUUGUAGGGAACUGGAACAAAGAUGACUGUUGUUAUGUUUUAGCAAAGAGACUGGUGGCAUUUUGCCCCUACCAUAGAGAUUUGUGGAACUUUGAUCUUGAGAGAGGUGAUUUAGGGUAUCUGGCUGAAGAAAUUUCUAAGCAGCAAAGCAUUCAAGAGGUGAUUUGGGUGCUGUUAAAAGCAUUUCAUUUUAAAAGGGAAACAGCAUAAAAAUUUGGAAAAUUUGCAGCCAGUUGAUGCAGCAGAAGAGAGAAACCUGUUUUUUGAGGAGAAAUUCAAGCUGGCUGCAGAAAUUUGCAUAAGUUACAGGGAGCUGAAUGUUAAUCUCCAAGACAAUGGGGAAAAUGUCUCCAGGGCAUGUCACAGGUCUUCAUGGCAGCCCCUCCCAUCACAGACCCUGAAGACUAGGAGGAAAAAAUGGUUUUGUGGGCCAGGCCCAGGGUCCCCAUGCUGUGUGCAGCCUAGGGACUUGGUGCCCUGCAUCCCAGCUGCUCCAGCCAUUGCUAAAAGGGCCGAGGUACAGCUCUGCCCGUGGUUUCAGAGGGUGCAAGCCCCAAACCUUGGCAGCUUCCAUGUGGUGUUGAGCCUGCAGGUGCAUGGAAGUCAAGAAUUGAGGUUUGGGAACCUCCAUCUAGAUUUCAGAAGAUGUAUGGAAUCACCUGGAUGCUCAGGCAAAAGUUUGCUCCAGGGGCAGAGCCUUCAUGGAGAACCUCUGCUAGGGCAGUGUGAAGGGAAAUGUGGGGUUGGAGCCCCCACACAGAAUCCCUACUGGGGCACCACCUAGUGGAGCUGUGCAAAGAAGGCCACCGUCCUUCAGACCCCAGAAUGGUAGAUCCACCGACAGCUUGUACCGUGCACCUGGAAAAGCCACAGACCCUAAACGCCAGCCCGUGAAAGCAGCCAGGAGUGGGGACUAUACCCUGUGAAGCCACAGGGGCAGAGCUGCCCAAGACUAAGGGAACCUACCUCUUGCAUCAUUGUGACCUGGAUGUGAGACAUGGAGUCAGAGGAGAUCAUUUUGGAACGUUAUAAUUUGACUGCCUCGCUGGAUUUUGGACUUGCAUGGGGCUUGUAACGCCUUUGUUGUGGGCACUUUCUCCCAUUUGGAAUGGCUGUAUUUACCCAUUACCUGUAUCCCCAUUGUAUGUAGGAAGUAACUAGCUUGCUUUUGAUUUUACAGGAUCAUGGGUAGAAGGGACUUGCCUUGUUUCAGAUGAGACUUUGGACUACGGACUUUUGGGUUAAUGCUGAGAUGAGUUAAGACUUUGGGGGACUGUUUGGAAGGCAUGAUUGGUUUUGAAAUGUGAGAACAUGAGAUUUGGAGGGGCCAGGGGCAGAAUGAUAUGGUUUGGCUGUGCCCCCACCCAAAUCUCAACUUGAAUUGUUAUCUCCCAGAAUUCCCAGGUGUUGUGGGAGGGACCCAGGGGGAGGUAAUUGAAUCAUGGGGGCCGGUCUUUCCCAUGCUAUUUUUGUGAUAGUGAAUAAGUCUCAGGAGAUCUGAUGGGUUUAUCAGGAGUUUCUGCUUUUGUUUCUCUCUCAUUGUCUCUUGCCGCUGCCAUAUAAGAAGUACCUUUUGCCUCCCACUGUGAUUCUGAGGCCUCCCCAGCCAUGUGCAACUGUAAGUCCAAUGAAACCUCUUUUUCUCCUCAGUUUUGGGUAUGUCUUUAUCAGCAGCGUGAAAAUGGACUAAUACGAUCACCCUCUUCUUUGUUCUCCUUUCUAUUUCAUCUCUAAUUUUUUUUGGCAUUUGGAGGGUGCUAUACAUUGCAAAAGUUGGGGACUCACUAAUUCCACUGCUCACUGUAUAUCAAGGUAAUCUGUCAGGGGUUUGGUUUUAUAUAAGAAACAAAUGAGUCCCCAGAACAUACAAGUUAAGAUUAUUCAAUCAAGGGAGGCAGUCAUUACCCUUUAACCUCUGAAAGAAAACUGCAAGUAGGCAUCAAACUAACCCUGAGAUGGGAGAGAGUAGAAGUUCCCACACCCAGUGAAUUGUAGGACAUUAGGUAAUUAUUGGUGGGAAGUAAAUUUGAGUGGGGAACUGAAUUUCAACUGACUUUUAUCCUUGAAGAUGGUGCUUCUAUUUUCUCAAAUUAGAAGGUUAUGAAAAUUGCAUCUGAACAACAAGUUGUAUUAGCAUAAGUUCUAGAAGAAACUGAGAAAGCAAGGCUAGUCUGAGGAAAAUUUAUACCGCUCACAUUUCCCUUCUGAAUUGGAGAAUAGAAUUGAAUAGCAAAAUUGUAACCUACCUUUCAAAGAUGCAUUUUAUAGUGAAGUAUAUUUUGUGAACUUUUAUAUCUUCUAUUCUUAUUUUUCUAUUGCCCUAUUUUAAAAUCUAUCUUGAAUUUAUUAAAUGUAUAUGUCUCUGUUUAUAUAUUUAUGAGUAAUAUGGUAGUCUUUUUGGUAUCAGAUGAGAACCC